CUUAAGGCGGAAUAAUUUCCUGAAAGAGAUUUGUUCCUGCAGCUUCCAGGAUCUGAGGCACGUCUGGGCGUCAUCACUCCGGCCUGAAUCAGACCUGUCUGAGCAUUCACCCUCCUGUCACAGAAGAAGCAAAGGACACAGCAAGGCUCAGAGUGAGCGGCUCCAGGUGUCAACCGAGCAAAGUCAGGAUCAGCUGCAGUUAUUCCAGAGUACACAUCCACAUGCAGAAUAUUCCAGAGCAGGUAUUUCUCUUUAAAUUCAUGCCCCAUCUUAUUCCAGAAUAUUUCCCUGUGUAGAGAAGCACUUGGCUGGGGUCUCUGCUUGCUGCUGUACUAGUGAUAAGAUGGAUUGGCUGAUCUAAUAGGUCUUUUCAAUCUCUGAUUUUGAAAGCUAAGAUUGGGAAAUUAAUUUCAGAAAGGUCAAAACAGAGCAAGGCUAUCCUGCUGCUGUGUGAUGGAUCCUAUUUUUUUUUUUAAAUCUGCCUAUUGAGGGAGAGGUUAGUUAUUCAGCAUCCUGCAAAAGAAAGAAAUAAAUAAAGCGGGCCGAGGAACA
rnacentral:lncRNA from 1 species